rnacentral:tRNA from 1 species
ACUAAAGUAGUUUAAUAAAGACACUAAUUUGUGGCAUUAGAAUUGCCAGUUAAAACCUGGCCUAUAGUC